rnacentral:rRNA from 1 species
UACGUAGGUGGCAAGCGUUGUCCGGAAUUAUUGGGCGUAAAGAGCGUGUAGGCGGCCAGGUAGGUCUGCUGUGAAAACUCGAGGCUCAACCUCGAGACGUCGGCGGAAACCAUCUGGCUAGAGUCCGGAAGAGGAGAGUGGAAUUCCUGGUGUAGCGGUGAAAUGCGCAGAUAUCAGGAAGAACACCCGUGGCGAAGGCGGCUCUCUGGGACGGUACUGACGCUGAGACGCGAAAGCGUGGGGAGCGAACAGG